GACGAACGCUGGCGGCGUGCCUAAUACAUGCGAGUUGAGCGCUGAAGGUUGGUACUUGUACCAACUGGAUGAGCAGCGAACGGGUGAGUAACGCGUGGGGAAUCUGCCUUUGAGCGGGGGACAACAUUUGGAAACGAAUGCUAAUACCGCAUAAAAACUUUAAACACAAGUUUUAAGUUUGAAAGAUGCAAUUGCAUCACUCAAAGAUGAUCCCGCGUUGUAUUAGCUAGUUGGUGAGGUAAAGGCUCACCAAGGCGAUGAUACAUAGCCGACCUGAGAGGGUGAUCGACCACAUUGGGACUGAGACACGGCCCAAACUCCUACGGGAGGCAGCAGUAGGGAAUCUUCGGCAAUGGACGAAAGUCUGACCGAGCAACGCCGCGUGAGUGAAGAAGGUUUUCGGAUCGUAAAACUCUGUUGGUAGAGAAGAACGUUGGUGAGAGUGGAAAGCUCAUCAAGUGACGGUAACUACCCAGAAAGGGACGGCUAACUACGUG
rnacentral:rRNA from 1 species